UCUAUGGCAGCCAGGGGUUCUGGAUCACAAGGAUGGGGAGUGUGUCAAGUACUGGAGAAUGAGUCUAGACAGCACUGUGUUAGGUCUGCUGCUGAAGAUUUUAAUCCUGUUCUAAGGAAAUGGUUUCCUUGGCUUUACGCAUGAAGACAGCUGCCGACGUCUGAAAGCAAGUCAAAGAUUUUAAUAGAAAUAAAACCAGAGGGUUCACAAAGGCUUGGAAACCACUGCUACCCGUUUUGAAAGAAGUACAAAUUGACCACCAACCAAAC